CAAUAGCGUAUAUUAAAGUUGUUGCGGUUAAAAAGCUCGUAGUUGGAUCUCGGCAGGCAGGGGGUGGUUCGCUCUUAGCGCUACUGCCCCAUUUGCCUGUGUGAUUGGCGGAGGUUUCGGGGUGCUCUUCGUUGAGUGACCCGGGGCGCCGUCAGGUUUACUUUGAAAAAAUUAGAGUGCUCAAAGCAGGCUUUUCACGCUUGAAUAUUCGUGCAUGGAAUAAUGGAAUAGGAACUCGUUUCUAUUUUGUUGGUUUUCGGAAAUCGAGUUAAUGAUUAAUAGGGACAAUUGGGGGCAUUAGUAUUCAGACGACAGAGGUGAAAUUCUUGGACCGUCUGGAGACUAACUACUGCGAAAGCAUUUGCCAAGAGUGUUUUCAUUAA
rnacentral:rRNA from 1 species